rnacentral:rRNA from 1 species
CUACGGGAGGCUGCAGUAGGGAAUCUUCCGCAAUGGGCGAAAGCCUGACGGAGCAACGCCGCGUGAGUGAUGAAGGUCUUCGGAUCGUAAAACUCUGUUAUUAGGGAAGAACAAACGUGUAAGUAACUGUGCACGUCUUGACGGUACCUAAUCAGAAAGCCACGGCUAACUACGUGCCAGCAGCCGCGGUAAUACGUAGGUGGCAAGCGUUAUCCGGAAUUAUUGGGCGUAAAGCGCGCGUAGGCGGUUUUUUAAGUCUGAUGUGAAAGCCCACGGCUCAACCGUGGAGGGUCAUUGGAAACUGGAAAACUUGAGUGCAGAAGAGGAAAGUGGAAUUCCAUGUGUAGCGGUGAAAUGCGCAGAGAUAUGGAGGAACACUAGUGGCGAAGGCGACUUUCUGGUCUGUAACUGACGCUGAUGUGCGAAAGCGUGGGGAUCAAACAGGAUUAGAUACCCGGGUAGU